rnacentral:rRNA from 1 species
CCUACGGGAGGCAGCAGUGAGGAAUAUUGGUCAAUGGACGAGAGUCUGAACCAGCCAAGUCGCGUGAAGGAUGACUGCCCUAUGGGUUGUAAACUUCUUUUAUAUGGGAAUAAAAUGUCCCACGUGUGGGAUUUUGUAUGUACCAUAUGAAUAAGGAUCGGCUAACUCCGUGCCAGCAGCCGCGGUAAUACGGUGGAUCCGAGCGUUAUCCGGACUUUUUGGGUUUAAAGGGAGCGUAGGUGGAUUGUUAAGUCAGUUGUGAAAGUUUGCGGCUCAACCGUAGAAUUGCAGUUGAAACUGGCAGUCUUGAGUACAGUAGAGGUGAGCGGAAUUCGUGGUGUAGCGGUGAAAUGCUUAGAUAUCACGAAGAACUCCGAUUGCGAAGGCAGUUCACUGGACUGCAACUGACACUGAGGCUCGAAAGUGUGGGUAUCAAACAGGAUUAGAUACCCGGGUAGUC